GCAGUUAUAGCUCAGUUGUAGAGCAUGCACUUAGGAUGCACAGGGUCCUAGGUUCAAUCCCCAGUCCCUCCA
rnacentral:tRNA from 1 species